GUUUAGGAAUUUAUUUUAAAAUAUUCAAAAUCACCCAUCCAACAAUGGAAUUUUAUAACAAAGGUUUCUCGGCAGGGUCCCAAGUCUUUAGGUAAGGUCAACCUAUAUCAAUUCCUUAAAAUUCAUUGAAACU